ACUGUCCCUUAUAGCAUCGCGAGUGUGGCUUCUGUUUCGUAUGUGCAUCAGUACAUGGAUGACAGAGAGGAGAGAGGCUAGCUAUGUCUGCACUUAGUGUUUUGACCUAUGAACACCAGAAUGAUUAGUAGCCUAAGAAA
rnacentral:snoRNA from 1 species